rnacentral:lncRNA from 1 species
CCGAGGAGGUCGGGGUCGACGAGCUCCUUCACGCGCUCGCUGAAGGACGCGCGGUCUUUGUAGAGCUCCUCGACGGUGAGCGUGCCGAUGACUUGCCUCUGAUGGCCCUCCAUGGUGCGGUGAACCGCGUCCUGGAUAUCGAGGCGCUUCUUGCCGAGGAAGUGCGUCGCCGCGAGCUUGACCUUGUCGUAGUCGAUCUUGUGCCCGUCGCCGGACAUGAUCUUGAUCUGCGCGGUGGAGCUCAGGGAGAUGCGCACGCCCUUCGCGGUCUCCGCCUCGACGGAUUUGAUGGACAGCGUCAUGAGAUCGAGGUACAGGCGGUCGUACGUCUCGACGCACCACAUAACACUCGCGCAGCCUCCGAUGACGACGCGCUGGCCGCGGAGACCGGAGACGAUGACGGCCUGGUUGGGGGCGGCGGUGACGAUGUUGAACAUGGCGGAUACACGUGCGUGCGUUCGGUGCGUUUCGGUGCGGUCGUGAAUGCAGUCGAACCAAAAGCGCGCGCUCGUUGAAUCUCUGAAACGAAUCCAGAAUCAAAUCUUUUGCGAUAUUUUCUCACUGGUUGCGCUGUGAGGAGCUGUUGCUUGCUCAGCGGUCUGCGCCCAGGCUGGCGAUAUUUUGAGACGACAAAGGUUGAUGAUGAACUUUCAGAGCGGAUGCCCGUCGAGAAGAAAUCUCGGGGCACACAUGCACGAGCGCGCGGUCCACUCCACGAUUGCCGCCGCACCC